rnacentral:piRNA from 1 species
UCCUAUGCAGAAGAUCCCACGUGCUGACC